CCUACGGGAGGCAGCAGUGAGGAAUAUUGGUCAAUGGGCUUACGCCUGAACCAGCCAAGUCGCGUGAGGGAAGACUGCCCUAUGGGUUGUAAACCUCUUUUGUCAGGGAGCAACGCCGGCUACGUGUAGCCGGACUGAGAGUACCUGAAGAAAAAGCAUCGGCUAACUCCGUGCCAGCAGCCGCGGUAAUACGGAGGAUGCGAGCGUUAUCCGGAUUUAUUGGGUUUAAAGGGUGCGUAGGCGGAAUGCCAAGUCAGCGGAAAAGGCGCGGGGCUCAACCUCGCUACGCCGUUGAAACUGGCGUUCUUGAGUGGGCGAGAAGUAUGCGGAAUGCGUGGUGUAGCGGUGAAAGGCAUAGAUAGCACGCAGAACUCCGAUUGCGAAGGCAGCAUACCGGCGCCCAACUGACGCUGAAGCACGAAAGCGUGGGUAUCGAACAGGAUUAGAUACCCGAGUAGUC
rnacentral:rRNA from 1 species